CGUUAAUCAAGAACGAAAGUUAGAGGUUCGAAGGCGAUCAGAUACCGCCCUAGUUCUAACCAUAAACGAUGCCAGCCAGCGAUCCGCCGAAGUUCCUCCGAUGACUCGGCGGGCAGCUUCCGGGAAACCAAAGCUUUUGGGUUCCGGGGGAAGUAUGGUUGCAAAGCUGAAACUUAAAGGAAUUGACGGAAGGGCACCACCAGGAGUGGAGCCUGCGGCUUAAUUUGACUCAACACGGGAAACCUCACCAGGCCCGGACACCGGAAGGAUUGACAGAUUGAGAGCUCUUUCUUGAUUCGGUGGGUGGUGGUGCAUGGCCGUUCUUAGUUGGUGGAGCGAUUUGUCUGGUUAAUUCCGGUAACGAACGAGACUCUAGCCUGCUAAAUAGACGAUUUCCGGUAUCCACAAUAGUGCUACCGGCGAAAUCAAUAUCUUCUUAGAGGGACAGGCGGCUUUCAGCCGCACGAAACUGAGCAAUAACAGGUCUGUGAUGCCCUUAGAUGUCCUGGGCCGCACGCGCGCUACACUGAAGGAAUCAGCGUGUACACCCUGGCCGAAAGGCUCGGGCAACCCGUUGAACCUCCUUCGUGCUAGGGAUUGGGGCUUGCAAUUGUUCCCCAUGAACGAGGAAUUCCCAGUAAGCGCGAGUCAUAAGCUCGCGUUGAUUACGUCCCUGCCCUUUGUACACACCGCCCGUCGCUACUACCGAUUGAAUGAUUUAGUGAGGUCUUCGGACUGGUGCGCGGCGGCCGCCUGCGCGUCCGCCGAUGCCACCGGGAAGAUGACCGAACUUGAUCAUUUAGAGGAAGUAAAAGUCGUAACA
rnacentral:rRNA from 1 species